GUGAAAAUGGUUUUAUUUAACAUGCAGCAAAACAAGGGCAGCAGAGUUGGUAUAUCCAGUACAGCCAUUUGCCAUGAAGCAUUGACCUCAAUAGUAACGAGUAACACUCAAAUAACUGUAAUGUCUAGAGCAUAACACAAAGUCCAAUUUCCACAUAGUAAUUCCAUAGACAUUCCCAGGGCUGCAGCAGCCAGUCUCUGGAAAGCUCUUGGAUUUAUUCCUUAAGUAGUGAAAAAUGAUUCACUUUUGACUUGUCCUCUUCUAUUGAAGCAGUGAAACCUGCUUGCUAAAGACAGCGAGGGGCAGGGAAGGGAUAUGACCUCUUCCAUAGUAUGGAAUAAGGAAGCCUGGCAAGGGGCAGGGAGGAACCAGGGAAUGUGGUCUGUGCCACCUUCCUUUCCCCAGAGAUGUCCGAUUGCUGAGCUUGUUCACCUGGGCUCCGCAAGCUUCCCCCGUGUCUAUGGCAGCUGGUGUUUUUUUGUGUGUGUGUGUGUGUUUUUUUUUUUUGUGACGGAGGCUUGGAGUACAUGUCCCAGGAUCACAUCCAGCAGCUAGAGUGGCUGGGACAAGCUGGCGGGGGCCAAGCACUGUUGAAGCAAUAGGGUCUGGUGACUCAGCUCAAGUGUGGCCCGAUCUCAUCACCUCCAGACCCAACAUCUCGCUGACAGUGCCCCUCAGUAGCUGGGGAACAGUUGAGGUUUCUGGGCAGCACAUUAGGACAUAUGUCUAGUGUAACAUUUGUGAUCCUGAGGCCUCCUGUGUCCAGCCACAGGUGCCACACCACAUGCCAUCUGGUGAGAGGAGAGGGAGGCCAAAGCAGUAGGAUGUAGAGUGGCGGUAGAUUCCAAGGGGAGGAUAGCAGUUUAUUUCAUGCCAAGCAAGAGGUAGUCAGUAGGAUGGCCUGUCCCCACGGCUGGAGGCACACUUUUCCCAGAAAGCUGAGUACCUGCUUCUGGAGAAGGGGAAAUACUGGCUCUCUUCAUUUUCCUUCCUAUCCCUAGUUGGGCCUGUCAUGAGGCCAAAUUCCAUGUCCUGCCAAGAUGUCCAUAGGACACAGCCUGCCACUGCCAGGGACAAGCACACAACUCAUCACUCCGUGGCCAUUCCAGGAUGAUGCUGUACACCAGAGGCAGGGCUGGGGACUUUGCAGUAUGCCAGUUCCUUAUUCUGGGCCAGGCACCUUCCUGGGCCACCUCCCUGGGGAUGGCAGCAGGAGCUGGUUGGCGGGGGAAGCAUGGAAUUGCAACAGGGCUGCAGCCCCUUGGGCCGUGCAUCUGUCAGGUGUGAGGAUGUGGCUCUUGUGGGGAAUGACCCAUGACAGUCUCUCUUUAGAGACUCCCACCCCCCACCCCAGUGGCUUCAGUGAAUGCCAGUAGAAGGAAGCAAACACCUACGCCAAGCCUGGGGGUCCAUGUUCCUGGGACAGCAGUGAAGUCAGGGGCCACUCCCCACCCCUGACAGCAUAUGGCCACUUCAAGUCACAUAGGUAGAUAAAAACAGGUCCUUUUAGGGGCCAAAGGAGAGGUUAUCACAGCAGCAGUUUGGUUCUCAGCAGAAAUGCCCAGGGCCCCUGUUCCACAUCAAAGCUACAAGCACUGUUGUCAGGGCAUGGAGAGUGACGGGACCAGAGCCCUCCUCGUCUCAGGGCAGCCUGCCUGGCUUCAAGGUGGAGAUCACAGCGUCCUCUGGGGUCAUAGGUUCCCCCACUGUUCCACAGGAGGGAACUGGUCCACCUCGCCCACCUCUGUGCUCAGCUGCUCCCCCAGGGCGAAGGUCAGCUUAUACCGAAGCCGCACCUUCUCCUGUGACAGAGGGCAGCAAGUGAGAUCCAGCCCGGGUGGCCCCUCGGCAGGACGCCCUCUAUUCUGCUACCCUCUCUGUGCUAGAGGAAUGGUCCCUUUUCCCCGCAACCCCCAACCAUGCUCAGAUACUUAACCUAAGGCAGCAAAGGGAUGUGUCAAUCCUACAGUCAAAACACUUCCAGCUGGGAGGUGGUGGGCCUGACGUCCUAAUCUGGGGCAGCUGGGGCCUCAGGCUGGGACCCCUGGGUUCUUUGCUGCUCACCUUCAGUGGAUUGGCCAGCAACAUGACCUGGGUGAUGGCUGCAGGUGGCUGGAUGGGGCUAAAUGGAGAGAGUUCUGUCCCAGAAGGUGGCUGCAACUUCACUUUCAU
rnacentral:lncRNA from 1 species